rnacentral:rRNA from 1 species
UGGGGAAUAUUGGACAAUGGGCGCAAGCCUGAUCCAGCCAUGCCGCGUGAGUGACGAAGGCCUUAGGGUUGUAAAGCUCUUUUGGCGGGGAAGAUAAUGACGGUACCCGCAGAAUAAGCUCCGGCUAACUUCGUGCCAGCAGCCGCGGUAAUACGAAGGGAGCAAGCGUUGUUCGGAAUUACUGGGCGUAAAGGGCGCGUAGGCGGUUUAACAAGUCAGGCGUGAAAGCCCCGGGCUCAACCCGGGAAUAGCGUUUGAGACUGUUUUUCUAAGAGUUCGGAAGAGGUAAGUGGAAUUCCCAAUGUAGCAGUGAAAUGCGUAGAUAUUGGGAAGAACACCAGUGGCGAAGGCGGCUUACUGGUCCGACACUGACGCUGAGGCGCGAAAGCGUGGGGAGCAAACAGGAUUAGAUACCCCUGUAGUCCCUGAGCGGGCUGGCAAGGCGCAU